rnacentral:rRNA from 1 species
AUUGAACGCUGGCGGCAGGCCUAACACAUGCAAGUCGAACGAGUGGCGGACGGGUGAGUAAUGUCUGGGAAACUGCCCGAUAGAGGGGGAUAACUACUGGAAACGGUAGCUAAUACCGCAUACUAUCGGAUGAACCCAGAUGGGAUUAGCUAGUAGGUGGGGUAACGGCUCACCUAGGCGACGAUCCCUAGCUGGUCUGAGAGGAUGACCAGCCACACUGGAACUGAGACACGGCCCAGACUCCGACGGGAGGCAGCAGGGGGGAAUAUUGCACAAUGGGCGCAAGCCUGAUGCAGCCAUGCCGCGUGUAUGAAGAAGGCCUUAGGGUUGUAAAGUACUUUCAGCGAGGAGGCGUUACCCGCAGAAGAAGCACCGGCUAACUCCGUGCCAGCAGCCGCGGUAAUAC